GAACCAAGGAAAAUAACGCCGGUGUUCUAAGAUAUUUUGAGAUUAGCCUUGAUAGUUGGAUGCCCUGUACCCGUGAGGCGGUCGCUCAUGUAAACUCCAAGGUUCAGUUUUUGUCAACAUCGGCUUCUUUGAUAACUUAGUCUUCAAAAUUCGAGAAGUGUGGGUGUGUGACCAUACUGGUCCUCCUAUGCAAAAUGGAUUUACCAUUAGCCUCUGAACAUGAUGAUCAUGUGGACUAAGCUUGCAUGUGGGUGCGCCAAGGAGCAUGUCCAACCUAUGAAGGGAUAACAACUAAUUUGUCAGACUUUGUGAAGACAUCAUGGAUUGGAGAACGUCAGAUAUGUGUCCUUGUGUUCAAGGCUAAAAGGGGCAAACUGUUGCUUGCUAUCUACCUGCUUUGACAAGGUUGGUUACUAGGUCGUCAUCAUACAUGCAAAUGUUCCCUUUGACAAGGUUGGUUACUAGGUUCUUUGUGAGUGUUUGGUUGGACUUAUGUCGCACCGCUGAUCUGGCUCGCUUUGGUUAUCUAACAAACCAACUAUUGUAUCUACUUGGUGCCAAUUCAUCGGCUUGGCUUACUUUUGGAACAUAGUGCAUAUUUC